rnacentral:rRNA from 1 species
GUAGUUGGAUUUCAAGAAAACGCAUCUGGGCAACCAGUUUGCUUUCUACCAGUCUUUGACUGUUACUGUGAGAAAAUUAGAGUGUUUCAAGCAGGCAAUUGCAGGAAUACAUUAGCAUGGAAUAACGAAUGUAUCUACAAUUUGGUUGAUUGUAGAAUACGAUUAAUAGGGACAGUUGGGGGCAUUAGUAUUUAAUUGUCAGAGGUGAAAUUCUUGGAUUUGUUAAAGACUAACGUAUGCGAAAGCAUUUGCCAAGGAUGUUUUCAUUAAUCAAGAACGAAAGAUAGGGGAUCAAAGACGAUCAGAUACCGUCGUAGUCCUAUCCAUAAACUAUGCCGACUAGGGAUUGGUGCGGUGUACACCGUAUCAGUACCUUAUGAGAAAUCAAAGUCUUGGGUUCUGGGGGGAGUAUGGUCGCAAGACUGAAACUUAAAGAAAUU